GACGAACGCUGGCGGCGUGCUUAACACAUGCAAGUCGAACGAAGUGGCGAACGGGUGAGUAACGCGUAAUCCACCUGCCCUUCAGAGGGGGACAACAGUUGGAAACGACUGCUAAUACCGCAUACGGAAGGAGGGGAUUGCGUCGGAUAAGCUAGUUGGAGGGGUAACGGCCAACCAAGGGGAUGAUCAGUAGGCGGUUUGAGAGGAUGAACGGCCACAUUGGGACUGAGACACGGCCCAGAAUCCUACGGGAGGCAGCAGUGGGGAAUCUUCCGAAAUGGACGAAAGUCUGACGGAGCAACUCCGCGUGAGUGAUGACGGCCUUCGGGUUGUAAAGCUCUGUUAAUCGGGACGCGGUACCGGAAUAGAAAGCCACGGCUAACUACGUGCCAGCAGCCGCGGUAAUUC
rnacentral:rRNA from 1 species